UUUAAUUCGUUCACAAUUCGUCACAAAUAUUCUUUAAUCAUUCGCAACAUGACAUUGAUUUUCCUCGAGAAGGACUUUAAUCAGUGAUAUUUUUUUAUUACAGCUUCGGGCAGGUUUUCUAAUCACUUGUACACAGAAAGCUCUAACUGUAAAUCAUACAUGCCGAAUUUAUAGCGGUCACGAUAUUCAAUUUAUGAUGUGUGAUAGAGCUGAGAUGUAUCUACACCCAUGAAGAAACCAGUCGUGGCGUCCGUAUGUCUGCUGUACGUACGUAAAGAUAUGUAAAAAAAAAAAAAAAACCUAAAAGGACAAGAGACUUUGACUUGUGUCCUAACUCUACCAACAUCACCGACCAUGUCGUGCCUCGUCUUAGAAACUAUAAUAUGAAAACGCACAAUGCAGCGCCGCACGACCACGAAAGUGGAGCCAUGAGUUGUGUAUCAAUAACCAUCGCAACUUAAUGAACCCGUCAGAGUCAAUUUGCAGUUCCUGCGCGAACAUGUACCCGCGCCGAGCCCAGACCGCAGUUGAUGGCAGUUGACUCAGGGUCACACAAUUAAAUCUCGGAGGAGGAUGUAGCCACGAGGAAGAUAAUAUUUGAUGGGAAUUAAAUAUUGAAGAAGCAAUCUCCUUUUGGCUGGUGCGCCCAUUACGUGGAGGAAAGUACAUGAUAGUUGUUAGACAAUUUUUGGCUCAUCAUUUUAUGAAUGUUGACAAGAUAAUAGGCGCCCGGGCAGGUGUUUGGUUGUAUUUUCUCGGGGCUAGCUCGUGUCUCAAACAAUGACUUCUCUCCUCUCCACCCCAGUCUGAAGGAGUUAGCCACUUAGCCGCGGAUCGCCAGACGGCGUGUCAGGUCUGAGAGGAAUGGUAUGCAGACUCUUCACAAGUAGACAUUCUUAUCAGAUACCGUUUCUUCAAAACUCUCAAACAAUAUUUGAUGAGUAUGUUAUACAGGAAAAAAACAAAAACAUGUUAACUAAGUGUUGUACGGCUUUAUUAAAUAUUCGAAAACUUUCGAUUAAUAAAUCGAAUUCAUGAUAUCAAGACAGAAUUCUUGGUAUCAUCAAAUUGAAUUCUUGAUUUCA